AAUGGGCGCAAGCCUGAUGCAGCGACGCCGCGUGAGGGAUGACGGCCUUCGGGUUGUAAACCUCUUUCAGCAGGGACGAAGCGCAAGUGACGGUACCUGUAGAAGAAGCACCGGCCAACUACGUGCCAGCAGCCGCGGUAAUACGUAGGGUGCGAGCGUUGUCCGGAAUUAUUGGGCGUAAAGGGCUCGUAGGCGGUUUGUCGCGUCGGGAGUGAAAACACCGGGCUUAACUCGGUGCUUGCUUUCGAUACGGGCAGACUAGAGGUAUGCGGGGGAGAACGGAAUUCCUGGUGUAGCGGUGAAAUGCGCAGAUAUCAGGAGGAACACCGGUGGCGAAGGCGGUUCUCUGGGCAUGACCUGACGCUGAGGAGCGAAAGUGUGGGGAGCGAACAGGAUUAGAUACCCUGGUAGUCCACACCGUAAACGUUGGGCGCUAGGUGUGGGGCCUAUUCCAUGGGUUCCGUGCCGCAGCUAACGCAUUAAGCGCCCCGCCUGGGGAGUACGGCCGCAAGGCUA
rnacentral:rRNA from 1 species